GGAGAUCACCCAGCUAGGCAUGCUAGAGCACUUUUUCAGUGGGCUCCCCAACGACAAGGCGACGACUCAUUCGUAUGUCAUCCAUAUCAACUUUCGAUGCCAGUUUCUGCGCCUACCAUGGUGACCACAGGUAAUCAGGGUUCCAUUCUGUACAGGGACCCUGAGAAACUGCUAUCACAUGUAAGGAAGGCGGCAGGCGCGCAAAUGACCCACUCCCGACGCGGGAAGGUAGUGAC